AUUGAACGCUGGCGGCAUGCCUUAACACAUGCAAGUCGAGCGCCCCGCAAGGGGAGCGGCAGACGGGUGAGUAACGCGUGGGAACGUACCCUUUGCUACGGAAUAGCUCCGGGAAACUGGAAUUAAUACCGUAUGUGCCCUACGGGGGAAAGAUUUAUCGGCAAAGGAUCGGCCCGCGUUGGAUUAGCUAGUUGGUGGGGUAAUGGCCUACCAAGGCGACGAUCCAUAGCUGGUCUGAGAGGAUGAUCAGCCACAUUGGGACUGAGACACGGCCCAAACUCCUACGGGAGGCAGCAGUGGGGAAUAUUGGACAAUGGGCGCAAGCCUGAUCCAGCCAUGCCGCGUGAGUGAUGAAGGCCUUAGGGUUGUAAAGCUCUUUCACCGGAGAAGAUAAUGACGGUAUCCGGAGAAGAAGCCCCGGCUAACUUCGUGCCAGCCGCCGCCGUAA
rnacentral:rRNA from 1 species